CCUACGGGCGGCAGCAGUGGGGAAUAUUGGACAAUGGGCGAAAGCCUGAUCCAGCCAUGCCGCGUGUGUGAAGAAGGCCUUCGGGUUGUAAAGCACUUUCAGUGGGGAAGAAAGCCUUGGGGCUAAUACCCUCGAGGUAGGACAUCACCCACAGAAGAAGCACCGGCUAACUCCGUGCCAGCAGCCGCGGUAAUACGGAGGGUGCGAGCGUUAAUCGGAAUUACUGGGCGUAAAGCGCGCGUAGGCGGUCUGAUAAGCCGGUUGUGAAAGCCCCGGGCUCAACCUGGGAACGGCAUCCGGAACUGUCAGGCUAGAGUGCAGGAGAGGAAGGUAGAAUUCCCGGUGUAGCGGUGAAAUGCGUAGAGAUCGGGAGGAAUACCAGUGGCGAAGGCGGCCUUCUGGACUGACACUGACGCUGAGGUGCGAAAGCGUGGGUAGCAAACAGGAUUAGAUACCCUUGUAGUC
rnacentral:rRNA from 1 species